rnacentral:rRNA from 1 species
UACGUAGGGCGCAAGCGUUAUCCGGAAUUAUUGGGCGUAAAGAGCUCGUAGGCGGUUUGCCGCGUCUGCCGUGAAAGUCCGGGGCUCAACUCCGGAUCUGCGGUGGGUACGGGCAGACUAGAGUGAUGUAGGGGAGACUGGAAUUCCUGGUGUAGCGGUGAAAUGCGCAGAUAUCAGGAGGAACACCGGUGGCGAAGGCGGGUCUCUGGGCCGAUACUGACGCUGAGGAGCGAAAGCAUGGGUAGCGAACAGG